rnacentral:misc_RNA from 1 species
GAUGAAGAACGUAGCGAAAUGCGAUAAGUAAUGUGAAUUGCAGAAUUCAGUGAAUCAUCGAAUCUUUGAACGCACAUUGCGCCCGCCAGUAUUCUGGCGGGCAUGCCUGUUCGAGCGUCAUUUCAACCAUCAAGCCCCGGGCUUGUGUUGGGGACCUGCGGCUGCCGCAGGCCCUGAAAUGCAGUGGCGGGCUCGCUGUCACUCCGAGCGUAGUAGUUACAUCUCGCUCUGGGCGUGCUGCGGGUUCGGGCCGUUAAAAGCCUUAUUUACCCAAGGUUGACCUCGGAUCAGGUAGGAAGACCCGCUGAACUUAAGCAUAUCAAUAAGCGGAGGA